GAGGAAGAGAAAGCAGACAGCGUGAGUGUGGCCCGACCGCGCUGACCGCACGGAAGCGGAUCUGCAGAGCGCUUGAUCUGCAGGGUUCCCGCAAGCCGUCCAGGGUUUAAAGUCAGCCCAGGCGUCCGCGAGCUUUUGGCACACUGCCCUCGGCACACGGAGACCCCGUGGCAGUGGCAGCAGCCCGGGGUGGUGGCCGCCUGCUUCCUGGGGACCAGCUCGCCUCCAGCACUGUGACGUCUGCUCCCAGGCUGCUAGGGAGCUCGGAACCAAAGCCAAAGCCCGCCUCUCCAUGGGUACAGCGACACAGGACAGGGAUUUGUGUCCCAGUGCCUUACCUACCCUUAUUUUCCUUUACUCCUCCCCUCUUUGCUCAUCUUUGUCUCAUUCCUUGUGUUUAUAUUUCGUCACAGUAAGCUGCUUCAAAGGCUCUUGAGGAUGAGGCGGGUUGUAGUGGCUUUUAUUGUACAUACUGAAGCUGGGCUGCGUGUGUGAACACUAACGGCAGCAUGCAAGCCCUCCUCCCAAAGCCACGGCUCUGACACACGGGUGCCGGAGGGGCACGGCCUCGCCGCUCAAGCACUGAGCCAGGUGGCGCUGGCGCACGCACCCGGGAGAGACUGCGUUGUCCCAGAAUGUUAAUGUCGGGAAGCUGAGCAGAGGUUAAGGACGUGCUCGGGAUGACGGGAAGCCGAGCAGCCCUGUGGCUCUGCAAGGUCUGACCCCAGGCCCCUGGCACCACUGAGGAAACAGGAAAGGGCCAGUGGAGAAGAAAUGGCCUCGGCGCUCCAGGCAACGAAGAUGCUAAUUGUUCGUUAAAUAACAGGGUCUUGCUGCGAAGCCCAGGCUGGCCUCAAACUCCUGUGUCCUGCAUGCUGGGAUCACAGGCGAGCGCCACCAUGCCUAGCACCAGGGGUUAUUCUUAAUUUUAAGAAGUACAUACUAAUUCUAUAAAUAUGUACGAUUUUAUGUACUGUUAAAAUAAUAAAUAAGAGAAAGAAAUA